AGAGUUUGAUCCUGGCUCAGGAUGAACGCUGGCGGCGUGCCUAAUACAUGCAAGUCGAGCGAACUGAUUAGAAGCUUGCUUCUAUGACGUUAGCGGCGGACGGGUGAAUAACACGUGGGCAACCUGCCUGUAAGACUGGGAUAACUUCGGGAAACCGAAGCUAAUACCGGAUAGGAUCUUCUCCUUCAUGGGAGAUGAUUGAAAGAUGGUUUCGGCUAUCACUUACAGAUGGGCCCGCGGUGCAUUAGCUAGUUGGUGAGGUAACGGCUCACCAAGGCAACGAUGCAUAGCCGACCUGAUAGGGUGAUCGGCCACACUGGGACUGAGACACGGCCCAGACUCCUACGGGAGGCAGCAGUAGGGAAUCUUCCGCAAAGGACGAAAGUCUGACGGAGCAACGCCGCGUGAGUGAUGAAGGCUUUCGGGUCGUAAAACUCUGUUGUUAGGGAAGAACAAGUACGAGAGUAACUGCUCGUACCUUGACGGUACCUAACCAGAAAGCCACGGCUAACUACGUGCCAGCAGCCGCGGUAAUACGUAGGUGGCAAGCGUUAUCCGGAAUUAUUGGGCGUAAAGCGCGCGCAGGCGGUUUCUUAAGUCUGAUGUGAAAGCCCACGGGCUCAACCCGUGGAGGG
rnacentral:rRNA from 1 species